rnacentral:lncRNA from 1 species
UCACUUCCCAGAGAUACCAGUCACAUUGCUCAUUUCAGUACAAUAGGCAAAUAAGCAUUAAGCAGUAGGAAAGUCAGGUUCUGAAUUUCUAGCAGCACUAAGCAGGCAGAAAUCCUGGAUUCCGUGUAAAUCUGACUUACAGUCAAAAGAAAUCUCAAGGGGUGUUUAGUAGACAAGGUACUUGUGAUCACAUGAAGAGCCUGCUGAACAGUUCUGUCCAGCGGGCCAGGUGGCAAACUUCCUGGAGUCCAGCUGUACCCUUUAAGAUGUGUUUCUUGGGAAAUUAGUUCUCUUACCUCUUGUAAU